rnacentral:rRNA from 1 species
GAUAUGUUAUGCCAAGCAGCCGCGAUAAGACGAACCUUGCUAACGUUAUGCGGAAUUACUGGGCUUAAAGGGUUCGUAGGCGGUGCAGCAAGUCGGGUGUGAAAUCCCUAAGCUCAACUGAGGAAUUGCGCCCGAAACUGCUGGGCUCGAGGAAGACAGAGGUACGCGGAACUUAGGGUGGAGCGGUGAAAUGCGUUGAUAUCCUAAGGAACACCGGUGGCGAAAGCGGCGUACUGGGUCUUAUCUGACGCUGAGGCACGAAAGCUAGGGUAGCGAACGGGAUUAGAUUCCCCAGUAGUC